CCCUACUUUUCCGCUUCUAGCUUCCAUUUGCAAAGCAGUAAGUCUCUGAAAAUGGACUAGAAACGUGAAAAAGUUGGU
rnacentral:miRNA from 16 species